rnacentral:rRNA from 1 species
UACGUAGGUCCCGAGCGUUGUCCGGAUUUAUUGGGCAUAAAGGGAGCGUAGGCGGACUUUUAAGUGAGAUGUGAAAUACUCGGGCUCAACUUGAGUGCUGCAUUUCAAACUGGAAGUCUAGAGUGCAGGAGAGGAGAAUGGAAUUCCUAGUGUAGCGGUGAAAUGCGUAGAGAUUGGGAAGAACACCAGUGGCGAAGGCGAUUCUCUGGACUGUAACUGACGCUGAGGCUCGAAAGCGUGGGGGGCAAACGGG